GGCUGGGGGCAGCUCAGCGGGAGAGCACCCCAGGUUGGAUCCCCAGUAC
rnacentral:miRNA from 1 species